rnacentral:tRNA from 1 species
GGGCAGGUGAUCCGAUUGGUAAUGGUGGUUCUCUGUAAAAGAAUUGGUUUUAAACCGUAAAAGGUUCGAUUCCUUUACUGCUCA